rnacentral:tRNA from 1 species
CAGGGAAUAGUUUAAAAAGAAUUUCAGCUUUGGGUGUUGAUGGUGGGGCUGUUGCCUCUUCCCUGA